rnacentral:rRNA from 1 species
UCAAAUGAAUUAAGGCUUACGGCGGAGACCUAGGCACCCAGAGACGAAGAAGGGCGCAGAUACCGGCGAUACGCUUCGGGGAGCUGGUAACAAGCUUUGAUCCGAAGAUUCCCGAAUAGGGCAACCUCAAGAACUUCCUACAAAUUCAUAAGUAGGAUAGAGACAACCCGGUGAAUUGAAACAUCUUAGUAGCUGGAGGAAAAGAAAGCAAACGCGAUUCCCGUAGUAGCGGCGAGCGAACCGGGAUUAGCCUAAACCUGUAAAAAGGGGUAGUGGGAAGACAAAAAAUUUCUAAGAGUGUAAGACGAAGCAGCUGAAUCCUGCACCAUAGAUGGUGAAAGUCCAGUAGUUAUAAAAAUCUCUAAAGAAAAAGUCAUAUCCCGAGUAGCAUGGGACACGUGGAAUCCCGUGUGAAUCAGCGAGGACCACCUCGUAAGGCUAAAUACUCCUGGGUGACCGAUAGUGCAAAGUACCGCGAGGGAAUGGUGAUAAGAACCCCUGUAGGGGAGUGAAAUAGAACAUGAAACCGUAAGCUGACAAGCAGUGGGAGGAGCGGCUUUGCCGUCUGACCGCGUGCCUGUUGAAGAAUGAGCCGGCGACUUAUAGGAAGUGGCAAGGUUAAGGAGUCAAAUCCGGAGCCUUAGCGAAAGCGAGUCUUAAUAGGGCGAAUAAAGUCACUUUCUAUGGACCCGAACCCGGGUGAUCUAAUCAUGGCCAGAAUGAAGCUUAGGUAACACUAAGUGGAGGUUCGAACCGACCGAUGUUGAAAAAUCGGCGGAUGAGCUGUGAUUAGGGGAGAAAUUCCAAUCGAACUCGGAGCUAGCUGGAUCUCCCCGAAAUGCGUUGAGGCGCAGCGGUGACUAUGAGCUAUCUAGAGGUAAAGCUACUGUUUCGAUGCGGGCUGCGAAAGCGGUACCAAGUCGUGGCAAACUCAGAAUACUAGAUACAGCCUUCAGUCAACCAGUGAGAUUAGUUGGGAUAAGCUAAUUAAUCAAGAGGGAAACAGCCCAGAUCACCAGCUAAGGCCCCUAAAUGGUCACUAAGUGGAAAAGGAUGUGAGAAUGCUGAAACAACCAGGAGGUUUGCUUAGAAGCAGCCACCCUUGAAAGAGUGCGUAAUAGCUCACUGGUAAAGCGUUCUUGCGCCGACAAUGGCCGGGACUAAGUGACCUGCCGAAGCUGUGAUAUUUGAUUUAUAAUUUAAAUUAUAAAAAACAAAUAGGUAGGGGAGCGUUCCGUUAUCGGGUGAAGUUUUCACGUAAGUGAGGAUGGACGAAGCGGAAGUGAGAAUGUCGGCUUGAGUAACGAAAACAUUGGUGAGAAUCCAAUGCCCCGAAAACCUAAGGGUUCCUCCACUAGGUUCGUCCAUGGGGGGUUAGUCAGGUCCUAAGGCUAGUUAGAUUAUUCUAAGUCGUCGAUGGGAAACAGGUUAAUAUUCCUGUACUGCAUUUUAUUGGGAACCAAGGGACGAAGGAGACUAAACUGAAACUGCUUCUGGAUUUCAGUGGAAGCAUUAAGGUGUUGAUAGCUAGAAUAAAAACUAUGCUUGAGCUGAGAUGUGAUCCCUAUGCUAUACUUGUAUAGCGUAGUCAGUGAUGUCAAACUUCCAAGAAAAGCUUGAACACCAUAACAAUAAAAUCACCUGUACCUGAAACCGACACAGGUAGGUUGGUAGAGAAUACCAAGGGGCGCGAGAGAACUCUCUCUAAGGAACUCGGCAAACUAGCCCCGUAACUUCGGAAGAAGGGGCACCCUCUCUUUCUUUAAAAAUAAGAGAGGGUCGCAGUGACUAGGCCCAGGCAACUGUUUAUCAAAAACACAGGUCUCCGCAAAGUUGUAAAACAAUAUAUGGGGGCUGACGCCUGCCCAGUGCCGGAAGGUUAAGGAAGUUGGUUAUUAAGUAAUUAAGAAGCUGACGACCGAAGCCCCGGUGAACGGCGGUCGUAACUAUAACGAUCCUAAGGUAGCGAAAUUCAUUGCCAAGUAAGUUUUGGCCUGCACGAAAGGCGUAAUGAUCUGGGCGCUGUCUCGGAGAGAGACUCGGUGAAAUAGACUUGUCCCGUGAAGAUGCGGACUACCUACACCUGGACAGAAAGACCCUAUGAAGCUUGACUGUAUCCUGGAAUUGGGUUCGGGCUUUUCUUGCGCAGCCUAGGUGGGAGGCUAUGAAGGUUCCCUUCCGGGGGAAUUUGAGCCAUCAUUGAGAGACCACUCUGGAAGAGCUAGAAUCCUAAUGGUGAUCUUUGAAUCAAGACACUUGACAGUUUCAGGUGGGCAGUUUAUCUGGGGCGGAUGCCUCCUAAAGCGUAACGGAGGCGUGCAAAGGUUCUCUCAGUCUGGACGGAAAUCAGACAUUGAGUGCAAAGGCAAAAGAGAGCUUGACUGUAAGACCAACAAGUCGAGCAGGGGCGAAAGCCGGCCUUAGUGAUCCGACGGUGCCGUGUGGAAGGGCCGUCGCUCAACGGAUAAAAGUUACUCUAGGGAUAACAGGCUGAUCUUCCCCAAGAGUUCACAUCGACGGGAAGGUUUGGCACCUCGAUGUCGGCUCAUCACAUCCUGGAGCGGCAGUACGUUCCAAGGGUUGGGCUGUUCGCCCAUUAAAGUGGUACGUGAGCUGGGUUCAAAACGUCGUGAGACAGUUUGGUCCAUAUCCGGUGUAGGCGCUAGAGCAUUGAGAGGAGCCUUCGAUAGUACGAGAGGAUUUUCGAAAGGUAAGCCAAUAGUGUAUCGGUUAUUUUUCCAAAAGUAAACGCCGAGUAGCCACGCUUAUAGGGAUAACUGCUGAAAGCAUCUAAGUAGGAAACCCACCUCAAGAUGAGUGCUCUCCAUUAGGUCGCGGCAAGACAAGCCGUUUAAUAGGCAUUAGGUGUACAAUCAGUGAUGGUUUUAGCCGAGAUGUAGUAAAGAUCGAUUGAUUUUGAC